AUGGGACGCCAUGAUGCAACUUCUACCGGGUGCACUGUGACCCUGAGGAACCACCACCUCCCUGAGCCUCUGCUGCUCCGGCUCAGCUGUGACUGGUUUUUGUACAGCCACGGUUCACUGUGGUAUGUCUUCGGAGGAGGAACCCAGCUGACCGUCCUGUCACUGUGGGGUGUCUUCGGAGGAGGAACCCAGCUGACCGUCCUCGGACAGCCAAAGGCCUCUCCUACAGUGCACCUCUUCCCUCCAUCCCCGGAAGAGAUCACCAGCAAGAGCAAGGCCACGCUGGUGUGUCUGAUGGACGGCUUUUACCCCAGCUCGGUCCAGGUCACCUGGAAAGCUGAUGGCACCACCAUGUCCAGUGGAGUGGAGACCACCAAGCCCUCCAAACAGAGCGACAACAAGUACAUGGCCAGCAGCUACCUGUCGCUGAGCGCCUCCGCCUGGAAGAGCCACGAGACCUACACCUGUCAGGUGACGCACGACGGGAAGAGCAUCGAGAAGACCCUGAAGAGAUCGGAGUGCUCUUAACCCGCAGCCCCAGAG